rnacentral:rRNA from 1 species
UGGGGAAUAUUGGACAAUGGAGGAAACUCUGAUCCAGCAAUCCUGUGUGUGUGAAGAAGGCUUUAGGACUGUAAAACACUUUUAGUAGGGAAGAAAAAAAUGACGGUACCUACAGAAGAAGCAACGGCCAAAUACGUGCCAGCAGCCGCGGUAAUACGUAUGUUGCGAGCGUUAUCCGGAAUUAUUGGGCUUAAAGGGCAUCUAGGCGGUAAGACAAGUUGAAGGUGAAAACCUGUGGCUCAACCAUAGGCUUGCCUACAAAACUGUUGAACUAGAGUACUAGAAAGGUGGGUGGAACUACACGAGUAGAGGUGAAAUUCGUAGAUAUGUGUAGGAAUGCCGAUGAUGAAGAUAACUCACUGGACAGAAACUGACGCUGAAGUGCGAAAGCUAGGGGAGCAAACAGG